rnacentral:tRNA from 1 species
GGCAUCAAUGGUCUAGUGGUAGAAUUUGUCGUUGCCAUCGACCAGGCCUGUGUUCAAUUCAUACACAUGCUA